CCUGUACAUGAUGACAACUGGCUCCCUCUACUGAACCGUGGUGAGGAAACUGCCAUGUCACCCAUCUGACACAGC